rnacentral:lncRNA from 1 species
CAUCUAUCAUCCCACUCAUUCAUUCAUCCAACCACACACCUUUUAAUUUAUUCAACCACCUAUUCUUCUAUUCAUCUUCCCAUACAACUUCUCAUCCAUCAUUCCACACUUCCUUUUUCACAUCUCUUCAUAAAACCACAACCAUCCACCAUCCUCUUCUCCACCCAUCCACCCACAUAUCUGUUUAUUGAUAUAUCCACUCAUUUCCCAUCUGUCCAAGAUCAACAUAUCCACCUAUCAUUUUAUCCAUUCUCUCAUCCACCCAUACGUUCAUCUAUUAUUUUUGCCCCCAUUAUCCUCCUUUCUGUGUAAACAUUAAUUCAUUUUCUCCCAUCUUUCCUACCCAGCAGAUCUUAAAGAGAGGAAGAGUUUGUAAUAUUCUUCAGGGGAAGCCUUUUGAGAUUGAAAUAUCAUACUUUGAAUGAUAACUCUAUAUCUAUCUAUAAUAUACUAUGGUUUAAUGUUUGGAAAUCAAACGCAGUAUUUAUUUGUCAUGUGAACUACUAAAAGUAAAUCUGCAUGGACUUCUUGCCUGGUGAGUUACACAGAAAAUGAAAGUGAUUAUCAGUGGCUGUGGCAAGAUGAAAGGAACCAUGCCAGGACUUCUGAGGGAAGGAAGAGUGUUUGGGACUGAAAAAUCCUUGUCUGGAUCUAGUCCUCAGCCACUCAGAAGCUGGCAUGCCAUGACUCAAAGAGCCGCCCGUCUGGAAUGAAGACAGUGACCCGUAACUCCCACCUGAAGAGCAGGUGCUUGGAAAAUGCUGCCAGUCCGCAGGAAAAAGUUGUUACUGCUGCUGUCUGUGACCAAGAGGACACUUUAUUUCUUGAAACAACUGGGGGCAAACUGGCUCCCAGAUAAGGCUUCAGUCCCUACUCAUGUGAGGAAACCAGCCCUGCACCUGAGAGUUUAUUCAGUGACGAUAAUACUCACAAGACCCUUUUUGGAUUUGUGGCCCAACCCACAAGUUAUAGUUCCUUCUCUGAAUAUUUCAUCCAGAUUGUGAAGAGCAGCUUCUGGCAGCCACAGUUGUACUAUGUGACCCCUACUUCCCAUGCCCAGGACUGAUUCGACCCCGUAGUAGACACCUAAAGCAAUCCUGAUCAGUCAGAGUCUUUGUUCCUGACAUUUGGGAUUAGAGCAUGGCUGAAGGUUUAAGACACAAACUUGGAAGCUGUGGGGCAGCAAUACACCUCCAUGAGGACAGAGAAGCAGGGGAAAUAAGAAUAAACCAGAAGCUCACAGAAACGCAGGAAAUACUUCUAGAGUUCUAACACUUUUCGGGUUUCUUGUUCUAGUCCAUUCUUGACACACUUGUGCCUCACAGAAGCCAAUGGCAAGAAUGCAGUCAGAUCCUUCCAAUAAAUUCCUUUUAUUCUGUUUA